GCGCCAGUAGUCUAGCCUGGUAGGACAUGAGCUUGCCAAGCUCAGGGCCCGGGUUCAAAUCCCGGCUGGCGCA
rnacentral:tRNA from 1 species